rnacentral:rRNA from 1 species
UGGGGAAUAUUGGACAAUGGGGGAAACCCUGAUCCAGCCACGCCGCGUGAGUGAUGAAGGCCUUCGGGUCGUAAAGCUCUGUCGGGAGGGACGAAGGGGAAACCUUGACGGUACCUCGCAAGAAAGCACCGGCCAACUCUGUGCCAGCAGCCGCGGUAAUACAGAGGGUGCAAGCGUUGCUCGGAUUUACUGGGCGUAAAGCGUCCGCAGGCGGCAAAGUAGGUCUGAUGUGAAAGCCCAGGGCUCAACCCUGGAACUGCAUUGGAAACCACUUCGCUUGAGUACGGGAGAGGAGGGUGGAAUUCCUGGUGUAGAGGUGAAAUUCGUAGAUAUCAGGAGGAACACCGGCGGCGAAGGCGGCCCUCUGGCCCGAUACUGACGCUCAUGGACGAAAGCGUGGGGAGCAAACAGG